rnacentral:rRNA from 1 species
CAGGACGAACGCUGGCGGCGUGCCUAAUACAUGCAAGUCGAACGGUCUUUCUAUGGAAGCUUGCUUCCACUGAGAAGAUAGUGGCGAACGGGUGAGUAACACGUGGGUAACCUGCCCAUAAGAGGGGGAUAACAUCCGGAAACGGGUGCUAAUACCGCAUAGUUUUCUUGAUUGCAUGAUUGAGAAAGGAAAGACGGCCUUUGUGCUGUCGCUUAUGGAUGGACCCGCGGCGUAUUAGUUAGUUGGUGAGGUAACGGCUCACCAAGACGAUGAUACGUAGCCGACCUGAGAGGGUGAUCGGCCACAUUGGGACUGAGACACGGCCCAAACUCCUACGGGAGGCAGCAGUAGGGAAUCUUCCGCAAUGGACGAAAGUCUGACGGAGCAACGCCGCGUGAGUGAAGAAAAGGUUUUCGGAUCGUAAAACUCUGUUGUCAGAGAAGAACAAGUUGGAGAGUAACUGCUCCAGCCUUGACGGUAUCUGACCAGAAAGCCACGGCUAACUACGUGCCAGCCGCAGC